CCCUUAGAUGUUCUGGGCCGCACGCGCGCUACACUGAUGCAUUCAACGAGUCUAAAACCUGCUCUGAUAGGGGUGGGUAAUCUUUUGAAUGUGCAUCGUGAUUGGGAUAGAUGAUUGCAAUUUUUCAUCUUCAACGAGGAAUGCCUAGUAAACGCAAGUCAUCAGCUUGCAUUGAUUACGACCCUGCCCUUUGUACACACCGCCCGUCGCUCCUACCGAUUGAAUGAUCCGAUGAAUAUCAUGGAUUGAGGAUGCAAGUAGGUUCGCCUAUCUUCAUCUUCGAGAAGUGAAGUAAAUCUUAUCAUUUAGAGGAAGGAGAAGUCGUAACA
rnacentral:rRNA from 1 species